GCAGUCGAACGAUGAAGCUCUUGCUUGCAAGAGUGGAUUAGUGGCGCACGGGUGAGUAAUGUAUAGCUAACCUGCCCCUUAGAGGGGGACAACAGAUGGAAACGUCUGCUAAUACCCCAUACUCCAUAUAGGCUAAAGUCUUUAUGGGAAAACUCAGGUGCUAAGGGAUGGGGCUGUAUUGUAUCAGCUAGUUGGUGGGGUAAUGGCCUACCAAGGCGAUGACGCAUAGCUGGUCUGAGAGGAUGAUCAGCCACACUGGAACUGAGACACGGUCCAGACUCCUACGGGAGGCAGCAGUGGGGAAUAUUGCACAAUGGGGGAAACCCUGAUGCAGCAACGCCGCGUGGAGGAUGACGCAUUUCGGUGUGUAAACUCCUUUUAUCGGUCAAGAAAAUGACGGUAGCCGAUGAAUAAGCACCGGCUAACUCCGUGCCAG
rnacentral:rRNA from 1 species